rnacentral:sRNA from 1 species
CGUUUUCUGGUCUGGAAAUCUAUAUGGAAUCAUAGAUUCUGGUUAUGUUGUACUUCAGUAACCCUGAAACAUAGAAUUCUAUGAAAAGAAGUAAGUUAGUGUACACUGCUGGUACUUAGCUAGGUUAUGGUAAAUUGUAUUUUUGUUGUUGUUGUUGAGACAGAGUCUCACUCUGACACCCAGGCUGGAGUUGCAGUGAGCCGAGAUCAUGCCACUGCAUUCCAGUCUGGUCAACAGAGUGAGACUCCAUCACAAAAAAAAAAAAAAAAGAAAAAAGAAAUGACAUAAAACUGAAGUAUUAAGGGAGUGAUGCUACCUCAGUGUCCUGUGGCAAGUUAAUAAAACCAGGUGAUAAAACAACUA